AUCUUUUACCCUCAAAACCUCUGUCGCUGUUCUGAUAUUAGAUGAUUGAGUUUUGCGCGACGAUUUUAUGUCUGGGUUGAGUUACUGUUGUUAGCCGGUGUCCUUAUGGCUGUUACCGCUGUGGAACAUAGUCGAAGUUGGCGCCGUUGUUUUCGGUUCUUUAACGCGUUAGUUCGACUUUCCGAGAUGCUUCUCCGACGAACUACCACCCUCAUCAACAACCACCGCCUCCUUACAACAAUCGCCACAACAGGCAACAACCCCAUUACUCCGGUGAACCAGGACCAGCUCCGCCGAGUCUGCACUAUCUUGUAUCAGCAACAAAACAUGCCCGAGUCACGCCUCAACUCGAAACUCGCCUCCACUGAGUUCCAACUCACCCACGAGUUCUUCCUUCAAGUUUGCAACACCUUCCCCUAUUCAUGGAGACCUGUUUACCGCUUCUUCCAAUACACACAGCAACAAAACCCCACUUUCCCUCACACCAUUGUGUCCUUCAACAAGAUGCUUGAUGUAAUUGGAAAGUCUCGUAACAUUGACCUCUUUUGGAGCCUUCUUUCUGAUAUGGCACGACGUUGUUUUGUUAACGAUAAGACCUUCAUUAUAGCCCUCAAGACUUUGGGUGGUGCUAGGGAAUUGAAGAAAUGUGUUGAGGUAUUCCACUUGAUGAAUGAAAAUGGGUGUGGCUACAAUCUGGAGACACUAAACAAGGUUGUUGGAGCAAUGUGUGGUUGCAAGCUUGUUGAUGAGGCUAAGCAUGUUGUCUUGAAGUUGAGGGAUUUGGUUAACCCUGAUGCAGUUACUUAUAGGAUCUUGAUUGAGGGUUAUUGUGAUAAGGGUGAAUUGAUUGAGGCUUCAAAGGUUUGGAAUUUGAUGAUGGAUGAUGGGGUUAGGCCCGAGUUGGAAGCUUUUGAGAAAAUGAUGGAUAUUUUUUUCAAGAAGGAUAUGUGUGGCGAGGCGUUGAAGCUCUUCCGGACAAUAAGGUUUAAGAGGAUGGAUGAGCUCCGGGAUUCGAGUUAUAAGUUGGUGAUCAAAUGGUUGUGUAGGAAAGGGAUGAUGUGUGAUGCACAAGAGGUGUUCGAUGAAAUGCGUAGUCGAGGGAUUCAAGUUGAUAACUUGACUCUGGGAUCCGUGGUUUACGGACUUGUCUCAAGACAUAGGGUUAGGGAGGCUUAUCAGGUUGUGAAGGAGAUUGAUUCACCGGAUAUAAGUGUAUAUCAUGGAUUGAUCAAAGGGCUUGUGAGGUUGAGGCGGGCCAGUGAGGCGACUGAAGUGUUUAGGGAAAUGAUUAGGAGAGGUUGUGAACCAACAAUGCAUACCUAUAUAAUGUUGUUACAAGGGCAUUUGGGGAGGAGAGGUAGGAAGGGGUCUGAUCCACUUAUCAAUUUUGACACUAUCUUUGUUGGUGGUUUGGUGAAGGUGGGAAAAUCGAAAGAAGCUGGAAAGUAUGUGGAGAGGGUGAUGAACAGAGGGCUUGAGGUGCCAAGGUUUGAUUACAAUAAAUUCUUGCACCACUUUUCAAAUGAGGAAGGUGUGGUUAUGUUUGAGGAGAUGGGAAAGAAGUUGAGAGAGGUCGGUUUGGUUGACUUGGCAGACAUAUUUGAGAGAUAUGGACAAAAGAUGGCUACUAGGGAUAGGAGAAGGAACAGAUUUCCAAUAUCAGAAGACACUAAGGAUGUGUAAAUCUAAUUGUUAAACAAAUUGGCAAAUGAAUGAAAACUGGAAAAUAUUGUGUGUACAUCCAGCAUUGUGAUACAGUGCCAUCUCCAUCCAGCAUUGGUAAUUGGUAUAUAACAUAUCCCUUUAAAAUUAUAUAUCUGUAUUAUAAUUGUUUUUCAGAGUUAUUGACAAACUACUACUUUCUUUUUCUCUUAAAUUAUCUGCACCUCUCUAUGAACCCAUAAUUUAGAAGUAAUCAUUCAAGGAAAAGUUUGUGCAAUUACCGCUUCUAAGAAAAUAAAAAGACGAUUAUUGGCAUCUUACGUUGGUUUUGUGAACUGAAAAAGUGUGCUGUCUGGAGCAUUUUGCAAGCUUUCUAUUUUAAAAUGUGCUGUGGUAUAGACAUCUUGGAUCUCAUAUGGGCUUGUCUGAAGAUACAGAAUUUGGUUUUCUUUGUACCAUUGAUUUGCUGCAUACUUGCAUGAAGACUCAACUAAGUUGCUUGGAAUGAGUGGCUUAUCUAUGAUUCCUUUGAAACUGUCAUCAAACAAAGAAUGUUACGAGGCAAAAGUCGGUUCAACUCCUUGUCAUGUAUAAUUUGCUGUGUAAUUCAAGCUUAUAGAUGGCUGAGAUCAAACCUUAGAUUGUUAUUGGUUUUGUCAUCAAGAAUGUGUGAAAUUGUGAUUCACACAUUCUUGUACAAAUGAUUGAAAUGACAAAAGGACAACCAUGCAACACAUUUGGCAAAAUCAGAGUGGAGCAAGGAUAAUUCAUCAACGGUCAUGAGAGAAGAUUCUCCUGCGUCGUCUCAAUUUUGGAAAAUUGGCAUUCACCAUGAUCUUGAAGCUUUAAGGAUUUGGUUGGUGAUUUUGGACUCCUAGAAGUGCAAUCAAAGUUCGGAAGUGAGGUAGGGAUUUAAAUUAAAAAUUGUUUAGUUUGUUUGCCAAAAAAUCGUAGGACCUCAACUUGCCAAAAUUGAAUGAGUUAUGUUGUUGGUAAUGACCUGAUGGAAUAUGAGUUGUUUGAA